rnacentral:rRNA from 1 species
CCUACGGGGGGCAGCAGUGGGGAAUAUUGCACAAUGGGGGAAACCCUGAUGCAGCGACGCCGCGUGAGCGAUGAAGUAUUUCGGUAUGUAAAGCUCUAUCAGCAGGGAAGAAAAUGACGGUACCUGACUACGAAGCCCCGGCUAACUACGUGCCAGCAGCCGCGGUAAUACGUGGGGGGCAAGCGUUAUCCGGAUUUACUGGGUUUAAAGGGAGCGUAGGCGGUUCUGCAAGCCAGAUGUGAAAGCCCGGGGCGCAACCCCGGGACCGCAUUUGAAACUGUAAGGCUCGAGUGUCGGAGAGGUAUGCGGAAUUCGUGGUGUAGCGGUGAAAUGCAUAGAUAUUAGGAGGAACACCAGUGGCGAAGGCAGCCUACUGGACGAUGACUGACGUUGAGGCUCGAAAGCGUGGGGAUCAAACAGGAUUAGAUACCCUUGUAGUC